UUGAAUGGGCCUAAUCAUACAUUGUUGCGUAACCUUAUCAAGGAUGCACAAUACUAGAAUGGCAGACAUGCACGUCUAGCUCAGUUUGUUGCUCACUCACUUGAAGAUAUACUCGAGCUGUUGAAGGAGGCUUAUGAUGUUAUGUUUCCUUACAACACUCCAUUGGUUGUAUUUCAUUUUAUCUUUGUCUGUAGAGUUGUAUUUGAGAGGUUUCAGGUUGAUCAUGUUGUAGAUCAUUUAGCAGACUGUUGAGUUGUAUUUGUAUUAUUUA
rnacentral:lncRNA from 1 species